UGAAAUAAAAGAGGUAAAGAACAUUCAAGGAGACUGAACAGAAGAUGCCAAAAAUGUGAUAAACUCAGCCUGCAGCACAUACUGGGACCAUGCAGAUGACGCACUCAUCCUGACCGCUCUCCUCCGCUGAUGAGGACACUUGACAUUUCAUCAACGAGGUGUUUGAGGACCAGAUGCUCCCUGGGAUCAAGGUCUUCAUCAAUUAUUCCCAAAGUCU